AAGUCCCCCAAGUAAUAGAUCAUAUGCGCGCAUACUGUGUCUUCCUGCUCAUUCUAAAUGCUUGUCAUUCCAGAACUUUAAUGGGGGAAUUUCUUUAUCUCCUAAAUAUGCCAAGUGGGGCUUAUGUUUAAAAAACAGUAUCACAGUACCUCCAAGGGUUUCCACACACAGCAAGGAUGCCGUUUGUUCAGACACUGGCUGAGAGCUUGCCAACAGAAGCCUUGGUCACGACCCUCCUCCCAUAGGUGAGCCUCCUCAGGUGCCUCCUACACAUGGGCCCAACCCCAUCACAGAAUCCUAGAUCGGCCAAGGGCCUGGCAGGCAGCUGGCUAGAGAUGCAGAUAAGAGAAAACUGCCCAACAGUGGUUCAGAAGCCUGGUCCAGCCAACAGCAUCCCCACGCCAGGAGCCACACACCACACCUGGAGUUCUGCUAGGUGGGGAUGUGCCAGGAAACCGUGAGUUAGAAGGAGAGGUGAUGGCGGGCGCAGCGAGAGAAGCUUUGCAGUGAGAACAGUUUCUGUUCCCACCCCUGCCACCGGCUUGGUAUUUGGUCUCCAGCAGGCCCCUCCCUCGUCGGCCUGGGCUUUCUCACCGGUGGAGAAGUGAAUUGGAUGCCAGCUUAUUGAGUUUUCUCUGAGUUUGAGGUGCCUCUUCUAGCCCCAUGGGCACCUCCCUCGCACUUAGGCACCUAGUCGUUUGGGGUCCUCAGCUGAUGCAGGUUAGAUUUCCAUUGGUCCUUUCCUAAGGGAAAGGUGGGAAGGAAGGUGCGGUUUGUUGCAGAGAAGGAUCUCCCUGCCCCUGGGAAGGCAGGACCGCCGUUCCCCGUUAGCUCCUCUGAUAGCCCUCCACUGCCAUCAGCCGGUGAGUAAGUGUGGCUUCUUCCCGAUCACGGUGCAAAAUGUAGAAUUUCUCACAAAGAAAUUUGACUUUAAUGAGAGGGUAGAUCAUAGGAGAGAAUAAUUAGACAGUAUACACAUGCCAGGUUAAUUUUAAAGCAAAGCUUUUAGGUCAAGUUAUCUUAGUUACGCCAUUAACUGUUUUCAGCUAGCGGUUUCAAAAAUUGUAUUAUCAAAAUACCUGGCAGUGGAAUUGCUUUCUGCAGCCUGUUCUCAUUGUGACCUCAGAGUCAGUGCCUGGGCUGGUGUGAGUGUGUGUGUAUGUGUGUGUCAGAGAAAGGAUAUGAAUAUGAGAGUGUGUGCACACACACUGGGGGGAGGGGGCUUCCUCCUGUUUUUUCCUACAGUAGUACCUUAUGUUUAUUUAUUAUGUAUAAUAAUUCGUAUCUCCUAAUCCCAAACUCCUAAUUUAUCCCUCCCUCCUUUCCCCUUGGCUCACCUUAAGUUUGUUCUCUAUGUCUAUGAGUUUGUUUCUUUUUAUUUAAAUAAGUUUGUUGUGUCAUAUUUUAGAUUUCAGGGGAUGCUGAUUGAUUUAAAGCUGACUCACUGACUUAAAGUAGUGGGGUGGGCUAGGGAGGGGCAAGUGACCUGGGAGGUUUGAGAGAGAAAUGCCCCCCUCUGCAGGUCACUUCUUUGUGCUUGGAGGGAGAGGGGGAAGCAAUCAGGCAGCAGUUCGCCCAGGGCUGAGGAGGGAGGGAGGGAGGGGGAAGGGCUGAGAGCGGGCCUUAGAGCAGAUGGCCACUGGAGGGCGCCAGAGCACCGGCAGAGCCCACCCGCAGCUCUCGGGCUGGCCCUCCGGGCUGGGAAAGGAGCUGGAGCCCGGGCUGGUGGAAUCCCAGGGACGUGCCCAGAGAGGAGGGGUUGGGUACCGGGAGCUUCUACCCCGGCCCAAACUGCCUCGCCUCACAGAGGGCCCAGAGGUCUACCGUCAGCACCCGACGCGGACACUUCCAGCUUGGUCGGCUGGCGCAGUGGUUGGACAGCCUGAGAGGAAGUCUGCGGUGUGACUGCCCUUUGUUUCCCCAGAGGCGGGGCUCGGCCCAGAAAUACUGGGCUUGACUUUGGGCUUGCAGUUUCUAAGCUAUAGGCCUGCAUGCGUGUUGACAUCUGGAAAACGCGGCUGUGGUUGUGAACAUGGAGCAGGCAAAAGCGGUAGUAUUCUGGUGGGCGUCUGGUGGGCGCUGUGCCCUUUCUCUCAAGAGUUCUCCCCAGACUUUCUUCUUCCCUUCCCAUCUGAGCCUCUUCCUCUUCCCUCUUCCCUCCCCCCGGCCCCUUUCUAGGUGGAUCUGACCCAAAGCCAGGUCAUGUGACUUAAGGGUGUAUGACUGAUUUAAAGCCAGAUCAUAUGACUUAAAAGGUAUGACUUCGUUUUCUUCCGAUUUUUAAAAGAAAUUGGGCGAUUUUCAUGGGCCCCUAAGAGUAUGGAGACCCUCGCACUGUGCCUGCGAUGCUUCUCUCCAGAGCUCUUCAUCGCUUCCUGCCCCCAGCUGCGUGAGAGUGGAAGGUGCUCAGGGCUCAUCAGGUCCAGCCUGACAGCUCCAGCCACGUGCCAGGCACCAUGCUGCUGCUUGGGACAGAGCACAGAGUGAAGCUGGCAGGAGGGACCCCAGGAACCAAUGACUGUCUCAUGACAGUCCUGACCAGAGACACAGACGAAAAGUGCGCUGCGCUACAAACAGAAAGCAGAGCAACAAAACCCAGCAUGGGAGGAAGAAGAGGCGUCCGUUCUUUAUUUGGAGACCUAAGAAAGAAGAAGAAAUGUCUGAAUUGACCCAAAUAUUAUUUAAGGGGAAAAAAAAGGAAUAGAAGUGAGAGUUGGCCUUUGUGGACAAAACCACAUAAUCAGGAUCUGAUGGUACUAACCAAAGAUUGACAAGUAUCCCUGGAAAAGAAGGAGGGAGCCAUAUGUGUGUGUGACAUUAAUUUAAUGGGAAAGGUUAGCUAAUUUUAGGUAAGAUAAAACCACAACUGGCUCUCUACCUGGAAAAAUCUGUAUUUGGACCUUCACCUCCCACUCGUCACAAAAAUCAGUUCCAGAUGGAUUAAGGCCUAAUGAACUGAACAAUAAAUAGCAACCCUAACAGAAGUGGAAAUAGAAAACCAUAUGCACUGAACAAGGGUAGCAGAGACUCAGCCGGGACUGGAAACUCAGAGACUGUAAU